rnacentral:rRNA from 1 species
AUUGAACGCUGGCGGCAGGCCUAACACAUGCAAGUCGAGCGGAUGACGGGAGCUUGCUCCUUGAUUCAGCGGCGGACGGGUGAGUAAUGCCUAGGAAUCUGCCUGGUAGUGGGGGACAACGUUUCGAAAGGAACGCUAAUACCGCAUACGUCCUACGGGAGAAAGCAGGGGACCUUCGGGCCUUGCGCUAUCAGAUGAGCCUAGGUCGGAUUAGCUAGUUGGUGGGGUAAUGGCUCACCAAGGCGACGAUCCGUAACUGGUCUGAGAGGAUGAGCAGUCACACUGGAACUGAGACACGGUCCAGACUCCUACGGGAGGAAGCAGUGGGGAAUAUUGGAAAAUGGGCGAAAGCCUGAUCCAGCCAUGCCGCGUGUGUGAAGAAGGUCUUCGGAUUGUAAAGCACUUUAAGUUGGGAGGAAGGGUUGUAGAUUAAUACUCUGCAAUUUUGACGUUACCGACAGAAUAAGCACCGGCUAACUCUGUGCCAGCCGCCGCGGUAAUAC